AACUAAGUUUGUUAUUGCUAUGAGCUUUCGUGUGCAUGCACACUUCUUCAGAUACCUGAUGCAUGCACACGAAAGCUCAUAGCAAUAACAAAUUUAGUUGG
rnacentral:miRNA from 1 species